rnacentral:misc_RNA from 1 species
GAUGAAGAACGUAGCGAAAUGCGAUAAGUAAUGUGAAUUGCAGAAUUCAGUGAAUCAUCGAGUCUUUGAACGCACAUUGCGCCCCCUGGUAUUCCGGGGGGCAUGCCUGUCCGAGCGUCAUUACAACCCUCAAGCCCGGCUUGUGUAAUGGGCGGCCGUCUCUCCCCCCGGGGGGAGACGCCCCCGAAACUCAGUGGGGAUGUCGCGAUACCGAAGCCUCAGCUAAUGGGUAAACCACAGCUGCAAUGGCCGCGGCCGGCGUCCGCCUUCCACGGUCCGUCCGCCUAGCGCGGGCGGCCUUCUCAAGGUUGACCUCGGAUCAGGUAGGGAUACCCGCUGAACUUAAGCAUAUCAAUAAGCGGAGGA